rnacentral:rRNA from 1 species
CCUAGGGGAGGCAGCAGUGGGGAAUAUUGCACAAUGGGCGCAAGCCUGAUGCAGCCAUGCCGCGUGUAUGAAGAAGGCCUUCGGGUUGUAAAGUACUUUCAGCGGGGAGGAAGGCGUUGAGGUUAAUAACCGCAGCGAUUGACGUUACCCGCAGAAGAAGCACCGGCUAACUCCGUGCCAGCAGCCGCGGUAA